rnacentral:rRNA from 1 species
AUUGAACGCUGGCGGCAGGCUUAACACAUGCAAGUCGAGCGAGCGGCGGACGGGUGAGUAAUGUCUGGGAAACUGCCUGAUGGGGGGGGAUAACUACUGGAAACGGUAGCUAAUACCGCCUACCAUCAUAUGUGCCCAGAUGGGAUGAGCUAGUAGGUGGGGUAAUGGCUCACCUAGGCGACGAUCGCUAGCUGGUCUGAGAGGAUGAACAGCCAAUCUGGAACGGAGACACGGUCCAGACUCCUACGGGAGGAACCAGUGGGGAAUAUUGCACAAUGGGCGCAAGCCUGAUGCAGCCAUGCGGGGUGUGGGAAGAAGGCCUGCGGGUUGUAAAGCACUUUCAGCGAGGAGGCGUUACUCGCAGAAGAAGCACCGGCUAACUCCGUGCCAGCAGCCGCGGUAAUAC